AUUCCAGCUCCAAUAGCGUAUAUUAAUGUUGUUGCAGUUAAAAAGCUCGUAGUUGGAUUUCUGGUCGGAACGCCGAUCCGGCUCCGCAAGGGGUCGUGUAUUGGUUUCUCCUGCCAUCCUCAGGGGGAGCUGCGCUGGUAUUCAUUUAUCGGCGUGGUUACGCCUGUCGUUUACUGUGAACAAAUUAGAGUGUUCAAAGCAAGGUGUACUUGAAUACAUUAGCAUGGAAUAAUAAGAUAGGACUUUGGUGGUUCUUUUUAGAUAUUUUGUUGGUUUGCACGCCAAAGUAAUGAUUAAUAGGAGCAGUUGGGGGUAUUCGUAUUCAAUUGUCAGAGGUGAAAUUCUUGGAUUUAUAGAAGACGAACUACUGCGAAAGCAUUUACCAAGGAUGUUUUCAUCA
rnacentral:rRNA from 1 species